rnacentral:lncRNA from 1 species
UUUUCUAACGUUCUAAAGUGAUGGGGGUGUCUAUUAGUUCAUUAGUUGAGCAGUUAAAACAAAAGAUGCAAUUUUCUCCAGGAUAUAUACAUUAUGAAAUGAAAACAAGGGUUGAGAGGGUCUAAUGGCAGUGCUAACUAUGUUUCUGAUACUCGUUUCCCUGCAGUGAAACAAUCACAAAAAAAAAAAAACAAUUACAAGAGGAACGUGAAACCAGAUUUGUGUAUUAGAUUUGUCAUAACAAUAAUUGUGACUUGGUUUUAAAGAUAUUUGAUUGAACAAAAGAUAGAUGCUACCUUAUAUUGUUUACUUAUAAGCAGUGCCGGC